GGUGCACAUUGUUAGAGCCUGGAGUUGAGGCCACUGGCUAUCUGAUGAACUCACAAGUGUGGGGACUGUGCUACUUGAUAUGAAAGGUUUUCACUAACACCACAAGGGUCUCUGACCCAAUGAGUGGAGUAUGAUGCGCGUGCGCACACAC